UCCUCCAUAGCUCAGUUGGUUAGAGCACCUGACUGUUAAUCAGGGUGUCCUUGGUUCGAGUCCAAGUGGAGGAG
rnacentral:tRNA from 1 species